rnacentral:tRNA from 1 species
UAAAGUUUAGGGGUGGCCGGGGGCGUUAGGAGCUAUGGGAGGGCGAUU